UACGAAGGGUGCAAACGUUGCUCGGAAUUAUUGGGCGUAAAGCGCACGUAGGCGGCUUUGCAAGUCCCAUGUGAAAUCCCACGGCUUAACCGUGGAAGUGCAUGGGAAACUGCAGAGCUUGAGUACUUAAGAGGAUCGCGGAAUUCCCGGUGUAGAGGUGAAAUUCGUAGAUAUCAGGAGGAACACCGGUGGCGAAGGCGGGUCUCUGGGCCGAUACUGACGCUGAGGAGCGAAAGCGUGGGGAGCGAACAGG
rnacentral:rRNA from 1 species